GACGAACGCUGGCGGCGUGCUUAACACAUGCAAGUCGAACGGGGAUGCUCCAGCUUGCUGGAGUGGAUCAGUGGCGAACGGGUGAGUAACACGUGAGCAACCUGCCCCAGACUCUGGAAUAAGCGCUGGAAACGGCGUCUAAUACUGGAUACGAAACUGGCCCGCAUGGGCAUGGUUUGGAAAGUUUUUCGGUUUGGGAUGGGCUCGCGGCCUAUCAGCUUGUUGGUGAGGUAAUGGCUCACCAAGGCGACGACGGGUAGCCGGCCUGAGAGGGCGACCGGCCACACUGGGACUGAGACACGGCCCAGACUCCUACGGGAGGCAGCAGUGGGGAAUAUUGCACAAUGGGCGAAAGCCUGAUGCAGCGACGCCGCGUGGGGGAUGACGGCCUUCGGGUUGUAAACCUCUUUCAGCAGGGAAGAAGCGAAAGUGACGGUACCUGCAGAAGAAGCACCGGCUAACUACGUG
rnacentral:rRNA from 1 species